rnacentral:rRNA from 1 species
GACCGAUAGUGAACCAGUACCGUGAGGGAAAGGCGAAAAGAACCCCGGCGAGGGGAGUGAAAAAGAACCUGAAACCGUGUACGUACAAGCAGUGGGAGCACAGGUUUACCUGUGUGACUGCGUACCUUUUGUAUAAUGGGUCAGCGACUUAUAUUCUGUAGCAAGGUUAACCGAAUAGGGGAGCCGGAGGGAAACCGAGUCUUAAUUGGGCGUUAAGUUGCAGGGUAUAGACCCGAAACCCGGUGAUCUAGCCAUGGGCAGGUUGAAGGUUGGGUAACACUAACUGGAGGACCGAACCGACUAAUGUUGAAAAAUUAGCGGAUGACCUGUGGCUGGGGGUGAAAGGCCAAUCAAACCGGGAGAUAGCUGGUUCUCCCCGAAAGCUAUUUAGGUAGCGCCUCGUGAAUUCAUCUCCGGGGGUAGAGCACUGUUUCGGCUAGGGGGCCAUCCCGGCUUACCAACCCGAUGCAAACUGCGAAUACCGGAGAAUGUUAUCACGGGAGACACACGGCGGGUGCUAACGUCCGUCGUGAAGAGGGAAACAACCCAGACCGCCAGCUAAGGUCCCAAAGUCAUGGUUAAGUGGGAAACGAUGUGGGAAGGCCCAGACAGCCAGGAUGUUGGCUUAGAAGCAGCCAUCAUUUAAAGAAAGCGUAAUAGCUCACUGGUCGAGUCGGCCUGCGCGGAAGAUGUAACGGGGCUAAACCAUGCACCGAAGCUGCGGCAGCGACGCUUAUGCGUUGUUGGGUAGGGGAGCGUUCUGUAAGCCUGUGAAGGUGGCCUGUGAGGGUUGCUGGAGGUAUCAGAAGUGCGAAUGCUGACAUAAGUAACGAUAAAGCGGGUGAAAAGCCCGCUCGCCGGAAGACCAAGGGUUCCUGUCCAACGUUAAUCGGGGCAGGGUGAGUCGACCCCUAAGGCGAGGCCGAAAGGCGUAGUCGAUGGGAAACGGGUUAAUAUUCCCGUACUUGGUGUUACUGCGAAGGGGGGACGGAGAAGGCUAUGUUGGCCGGGCGACGGUUGUCCCGGUUUAAGCGUGUAGGUGUGUGUUCCAGGUAAAUCCGGUUCACUUUAACACUGAGGCGUGAUGACGAGGCACUACGGUGCUGAAGUAACAAAUGCCCUGCUUCCAGGAAAAGCCUCUAAGCAUCAGGUAACAUCAAAUCGUACCCCAAACCGACACAGGUGGUCAGGUAGAGAAUACCAAGGCGCUUGAGAGAACUCGGGUGAAGGAACUAGGCAAAAUGGUGCCGUAACUUCGGGAGAAGGCACGCUGACAC